CUACCAUGCAAGUCGCACGAAACCUUUCGGGGUUAGUGGCGGACGGGUGAAGUAACGCGUAGGAACCUAUCUGGAGGUGGGGGAUAACAUCGGGAAACUGGUGCUAAUACCGCAUGAUGCCUGAGGGCCAAAGGAGAGAUCCGCCAUUGGAGGGGCCUGCGUUCGAUUAGCUAGUUGGUUGGGUAAAGGCUGACCAAGGCGAUGAUCGAUAGCUGGUUUGAGAGGAUGAUCAGCCACACUGGGACUGAGACACGGCCCAGACUCCUACGGG
rnacentral:rRNA from 1 species